rnacentral:tRNA from 1 species
GGGUGUAGCUCAAUGGCAGCACACUUGCUUAGCAUGCAUGGGGCCCUGGGUUCAAUCACCAGUAUCCA